rnacentral:rRNA from 1 species
GACGAACGCUGGCGGCGUGCUUAACACAUGCAAGUCGAGCGGUAAGGCCCUUUCGGGGGUACGACGAGCGGCGAACGGGUGAGUAACACGUGGGUGACCUGCCCUCCAGCUCUGGGAGUAAGCCUCGGGAAACCGGGGUCUAAUACUGGAUAUGACUCCAUGACGCAUGUUGUGGGGUGGAAAGCCUUGUGCGGCUGAGGAUGGGCCCGCGGCCUAUCAGCUUGUUGGUGGGGUGAGGCCUACCAAGGCGACGACGGGUAGCCGGCCUGAGAGGG